UACGGGAGGCAGCAGUGGGGAAUAUUGCACAAUGGGCGAAAGCCUGAUGCAGCUAUGCCGCGUGUAUGAAGAAGGCCUUAGGGUUGUAAAGUACUUUCAUCGGGGAGGAAAAAACAAAACUAAUAAUUUUAUUUCUUGACGUUACCCGAAAAAGAAGCACCGGCUAACUCCGUGCCAGCAGCCGCGGUAAUACGGAGGGUGCUAGCGUUAAUCAGAAUUACUGGGCGUAAAGAGCACGUAGGUGGUUUUUUUAAGUCAGAUGUGAAAUCCCUGGGCUUAACCUGGAACUGCAUUUUGAAACUGAAAUACUAGAGUAUCGUAGAGGGAGGUAGAAUUCUAGGUGUAGCGGUGAAAUGCGUAGAUAUCUGGAGGAAUACCUGUGGCGAAAGCGGCCUCCUAAACGAAUACUGACACUGAGGUGCGAAAGCUGGGGAGCAAACAGGGAUUAGAUACC
rnacentral:rRNA from 1 species